rnacentral:lncRNA from 1 species
CUACAUCCAGUCCCCUCAUUUAGAAUAUUUUAAUCCACUAAUUCAAUUACCUUGAAUUACAAAGCUCUGACCCUCCAAAGCCAGUCUUCCCAAACAGCAUGACAACCUGAUAAGGACCUUAAAAGCAUGAAGAUGAUCCUUAUUUUAAUAAAUUAGGAUGAAUUUUAUUUAUUUUAAUUUGGUUUGUAGUAAUUAUUAGUUUGCAUUGAUUUGG